UAGCGUAGGGUGCGAGCGUUUGUCCGGGAAUUAUUGGGCGUAAAGAGCUUGUAGGCGGUUUGUCGCGUCUGCUAGUGAAAUCUCAAGGCUCAACCUUGAGCUUGCAGUGGGGUACGGGCAGACUAGGAGUGUGGUAGGGGAGACUGGAAUUCCUGGUGAUAGCGGUGAAAUGCGCAGAUAUCAGGAGGGAACACCGAGUCGGCGAAGGCAGGUCUCUGGGCCACUACUGACGCUGGAGAAGCGAAAGACAUGGGGAGCGAAUGGG
rnacentral:rRNA from 1 species